GGAAAUUGUUCACUGUACAAAUGAGUGCAAAAUAUGAUAAAAAGAAACUGCAGGGCUCUCAGGAAGAAUAAUGUAUGUGCCAUUAUCAUUAUGGCACAAAGGACACUAGUGCAUUCCCUGGAAACGAGCUGCAGAGAACCUGUGCUGACCCUUUCUGAAUCCUGUGGGAGGCUGCGCGCUUGGUAUGCUGGUUUUGGGGUAAAUGCCAUGGUAUGCCUAGAAACUCCAUACCACCCCUUUAUUCAUGUUUUCCCAACCCUGCAAUGAAAUCAUGCAGUCAACGCUUGGGACAAGACUCUUGGAAGAACAGCAUUCAAGUAAAGCUGUAUACAAGGGGGUCAGAUACCAGGGUAGAAACUUGCACUGAGCACGAGCUUUCAGGAUGUGCCAGAAAGCUGCAAGGCUGAGAGCCAGUGUCCAGACUCUAUAUGGACUCCUCACGCUUAAAAAUCUCAAUUUGUUGAGAGCCACAUGUGAACUGACUAGUUGCUGCCAUAGCAUCCAUUCACUGCUGCCUACAAUCUGUACAGAGCACCAUGGGCUUUAAGGAGAGCUGAGGCCACUGCUUUUCCAUCAACACCAUGUUGGAGAUGCAUGUCAUGGUGGCUGUGUCUGCAUGCUGACAGAGAGCAGCUAUUUUUUGGAGGCUGAAAGACCCUUAUACGGAGGAAAUCUCCAAGAAAGAAUCAAAGUCAAGUCACUGUCAAAGACUAUAGCGCCUUCACGUCUGCUGUACAGGCAGUUACACACACAUCUAGGUUAAUAUUUCCACGGAUGCUGAUGGGACUUGGAAAUCCAGUCUCCCUUAAAAGGUGCACUCCAGGGAAGUACUGCAACUGUAGAGCUGCACAGAGCACUCCAGGUGUAAACACGGGACAGUGGGUAAGACACUACGUUUGCCAUGCUGCAUAUAUUUGUUGCUUUCUGGCAUUGCUUUAAUAGGAGCCACUAUAAAGACAGCACUCAGCGCCACUGAUUUGUUUCUAUUGCGCUCUCCUAACCUUGCCAGUCUUUCAGUUUAGGACUACAGCAGUGAGUAGAUUAUCCCUUCUGAAAUAGUAACAAAAAGCCAUGACUUUCUGACCUCUUAUCUCACAGACCCUUACCUUUUGUGCUUCCAGUUAUGCCUUGGGAAAGGAUGAGGAGCAGAUGGAUACCGAGGAAUUUAGCACAUUAUUAGUAUUUUUUUUAACCUAAGGGCAAGGAACAAAACAAGUGAGCUAAGUGCUCUGAAGUACAGCGCUUAACUUCGUCUCCUGAUCUCCGA
rnacentral:lncRNA from 1 species